rnacentral:rRNA from 1 species
GACGAACGCUGGCGGCGUGCCUAAUACAUGCAAGUAGAACGCUGAAGAGAGGAGCUUGCUCUUCUUGGAUGAGUUGCGAACGGGUGAGUAACGCGUAGGUAACCUGCCUUGUAGCGGGGGAUAACUAUUGGAAACGAUAGCUAAUACCGCAUAACAAUGGAUGACACAUGUCAUUUAUUUGAAAGGGGCAAUUGCUCCACUACAAGAUGGACCUGCGUUGUAUUAGCUAGUAGGUGAGGUAAUGGCUCACCUAGGCGACGAUACAUAGCCGACCUGAGAGGGUGCUCGGCCACACUGGGACUGAGACACGGCCCAGACUCCUACGGGAGGCAGCAGUAGGGAAUCUUCGGCAAUGGGGGCAACCCUGACCGAGCAACGCCGCGUGAGUGAAGAAGGUUUUCGGAUCGUAAAGCUCUGUUGUAAGUCAAGAACGGGUGUGAGAGUGGAAAGUUCACACUGUGACGGUAGCUUACCAGAAAGGGACGGCUAACUACGUG